rnacentral:rRNA from 1 species
GACGAACGCUGGCGGCGUGCUUAACACAUGCAAGUCGAACGGAAAGGGCCUGCUUUUGUGGGGUGCUCGAGUGGCGAACGGGUGAGUAACAAGUGAGUAACCUUGCCUUGACUUUGGGAUAACUUCAGGAAACUGGGGCUAAUACCGGAUAGGAGCUCCUGCUGCAUGGUGGGGGUUGGAAAGUUUCGGCGGUUGGGGAUGGACUCGCGGCUUAUCAGCUUGUUGGGGGGGUAGUGGCUUACCAAGGCUUUGACGGGUAGCCGGCCUGAGAGGGUGACCGGCCACAUUGGGACUGAGAUACGGCCCAGACUCCUACGGGAGGCAGCAGUGGGGAAUAUUGCACAAUGGGCGGAAGCCUGAUGCAGCAACGCCGCGUGCGGGAUGACGGCCUUCGGGUUGUAAACCGCUUUCGCCUGUGACGAAGCGUGAGUGACGGUAAUGGGUAAAGAAGCACCGGCUAACUACGUG